rnacentral:rRNA from 1 species
UACGGAAGGGGCAAGCGUUGUUCGGAAUCAUUGGGCGUAAAGGGCGCGUAGGUGGUUCUGUAUGUCUACCGUGAAAGCGUACGGCUCAACCGUAUUUUGUCGGUGGAAACUGCAGGACUGAGGCUGGGAGGGGCUGGUGGAAUUCCCUGUGUAGCGGUGAAAUGCGUAGAGAUGGGGGAGAACACUCGUGGCGAAGGCGGCCAGCUAGACCAGUUCUGACACUGAGGCGCGACAGCGUGGGGAGCAAACAGG